rnacentral:lncRNA from 1 species
UCAUAUUGCACUUGCAGGUAGCAUGUUGAGCCAAUAUAUUAGUAAGUUGAUACCUUUUAAAUUAUUAAGUACUCGAUGUAAUGACUUCUCAAGUUUGCGCAUUAACAGAAAAACCUCAAAAGCAAGACUUUUCAUGGGUAAAGCUAGCUUUAUGCCAAACCUUGCAUAUCUUGAUAUUUCAUAUCCAAAAAUUGGAUAGGAAAUGAACAAAUCUUAAAAUAUUAAAAGCAAAUCUGGACCAUUUUCACUUCAUGUAUGAUCUUCCUGACGGAUCUUCUUGCUGGUAGGCUUGCCAUAAGAAUUGGUGGUGUUUCUCUAAUAACAGAGCCGAUUCUACUACCAUCAACAUAGUGAUUUCCUCCAGCCAAAUGGUCUGAUGAGGGAGAUGUCUUCUUUGGUCUGGCUGUGAGCAAGGGGGUUGCAACUGUUAAAAAUGAAAGAACACAGAAAAUAUCUAUAGCAGCAUUAGUUUCACCGACAAUAUAUAUGCAUCUCUAAGAACGAAAAGAAGGAAUAAUUGAUGGAAUGAUUACUUUGGGAGAAUAGACCCCUCACGAAGAUACAACCAAAUAAAAGUAAAAAGUGUGUUGAAUUUUGGCAUUCCUUUGGCGAGUUUCGAAGCCGGAUGGAUGUUACUGAGCGGAAACCUUGUUAUUGUUGAAAU